GUGGGGAAUAUUGGGCAAUGGGCGAAAGCCUGACCCAGCAACGCCGCGUGAAGGAAGAAGGUUUUCGGAUCGUAAACUUCUAUCCUUGGUGAAGAUAAUGACGGUAGCCAAGAAGGAAGCCCCGGCUAACUACGUGCCAGCAGCCGCGGUAAUACGUAGGGGGCAAGCGUUGUCCGGAAUGAUUGGGCGUAAAGGGCGCGUAGGCGGCCCGGUAAGUCUGAAGUGAAAGUCCUGCUUUUAAGGUGGGAAUUGCUUUGGAUACUGUCGGGCUUGAGUGCAGGAGAGGUAAGCGGAAUUCCCGGUGUAGCGGUGAAAUGCGUAGAGAUCGGGAGGAACACCAGUGGCGAAGGCGGCCUGCUGGGCUUUAACUGACGCUGAGGCUCGAAAGUGUGGGGAGCAAACAGGAUUAGAUACCCCUGUAGUCC
rnacentral:rRNA from 1 species